UACGGGGGGGGCGAGCGUUGUUCGGAAUUAUUGGGCGUAAAGAGCUCGUAGGCGGUUUGUCGCGUCUGCCGUGAAAGUCCGGGGCUCAACUCCGGAUCUGCGGUGGGUACGGGCAGACUAGAGUGAUGUAGGGGAGACUGGAAUUCCUGGUGUAGCGGUGAAAUGCGCAGAUAUCAGGAGGAACACCGAUGGCGAAGGCAGGUCUCUGGGCAUUAACUGACGCUGAGGAGCGAAAGCAUGGGGAGCGAACAGG
rnacentral:rRNA from 1 species